ACAGACAAUCAAGCCAGGACCAUACAGGAUCCCAGUCCAGGUGUGUAGCAAUUGGCUGUCAGAAGCAAUGCAAUCUGAGCCAGAAGCACAUGAUGAGAGAGCAGAGACAGUUGUUACAGAGAGAUAGAUGGUUGCCAGCGGCACAACUGCUGGGGGUACUGGCUGUCUUGAUUCAGAAGCAAACAAGGACCUCUUCAGAGGAUGAAAAGAAUAAAGAAAACAGUAAGGAUAAACAUGAUAUGCAAAUGCUGCUUUUGCAUGAAGCAAUUUUUUAAAGUUUAUAUAAGGAGGUUGACCAGCAAAGCUGUAAAGAUGAUAUGACUGCUGUUAGGGCUGUUGUAGUAAAAACAAUUUACCACUGU